rnacentral:rRNA from 1 species
CUUCGGGAGAAGGUACGCUGUUGAUGGUGAUAGGACUUGCUCCUUGAGCUGUCGACAGCCUCAGAAACCAGGCCCCUGCAACUGUUUAUUAAAAACAUAGCACUCUGCAAACACGAAAGUGGACGUAUAGGGUGUGAUGCCUGCCCGGUGCUGGAAGGUUAAUUGAUGGGGUUAGCGUAAGCGAAGCUCUUGAUCGAAGCCCCAGUAAACGGCGGCCGUAACUAUAACGGUCCUAAGGUAGCGAAAUUCCUUGUCGGGUAAGUUCCGACCUGCACGAAUGGCAUAAUGAUGGCGGCGCUGUCUCCAGCAGAGGCUCAGUGAAAUCGAAUUCGCCGUGAAGAUGCGGUGUACCCGCGGCUAGACGGAAAGACCCCGUGAACCUUUACUGCAGCUUGACAUUGAACUUUGACCUUACUUGUGUAGGAUAGGUGGGAGGCUUUGAAACUUGGACGCUAGUCCGAGUGGAGCCGUCCUUGAAAUACCACCCUGGUAAUGUUGAGGUUCUAACUCUGUCCCGUUAUCCGGGACGAGGACCAUGUCUGGUGGGUAGUUUGACUGGGGCGGUCUCC